rnacentral:rRNA from 1 species
UCCAGACUCCUACGGGAGGCAGCAGUGGGGAAUAUUGCACAAUGGGCGAAAGCCUGAUGCAGCAACGCCGCGUGAAGGAAGAAGGGUUUCGGCUCGUAAACUUCUAUCAACAGGGACGAAAGAAAUGACGGUACCUGAAUAAGAAGCCCCGGCUAACUACGUGCCAGCAGCCGCGGUAAUACGUAGGGGGCAAGCGUUAUCCGGAAUUACUGGGUGUAAAGGGUGCGUAGACGGAGAAACAAGUUGGUUGUGAAAUCCCUCGGCUCAACCGAGGAACUGCAACCAAAACUAUUUCCCUUGAGUGUCGGAGAGGAAAGUGGAAUUCCUAGUGUAGCGGUGAAAUGCGUAGAUAUUAGGAGGAACACCAGUGGCGAAGGCGACUUUCUGGACGAUAACUGACGUUGAGGCACGAAAGUGUGGGGAGCAAACAGGAUUAGAUACCCGAGUA